rnacentral:rRNA from 1 species
AUGCCCGCAACAGGGGGAUAACCCGGCGAAAGUCGGACUAAUACCGCAUAAAACAGGGGUCCCGCAUGGGAAUAUUUGUUAAAGAUUUAUCGGUUGCGGAUGGGCAUGCGUACCAUUAGGUAGUUGGUGAGGUAACGGCUCACCAAGCCUUCGAUGGUUAGGGGUUCUGAGAGGAAGGUCCCCCACACUGGUACUGAGACACGGACCAGACUCCUACGGGAGGCAGCAGUGAGGAAUAUUGGUCAAUGGGCGAGAGCCUGAACCAGCCAAGUCGCGUGAAGGAUGACUGCCCUAUGGGUUGUAAACUUCUUUUACAAGGGAAUAAAAUGAGAUACGUGUAUUUUAUUGCAUGUACCUUGGGAAUAAGCAUCGGCUAACUCCGUGCCAGCAGCCGCGGUAAUACGGAGGAUGCGAGCGUUAUCCGGAUUUAUUGGGUUUAAAGGGUGCGUAGGUGGGCUAUUAAGUCAGCGGUGAAAGUUUGUCGCUUAACGAUAAAAUUGCCGUUGAAACUGGUAGUCUUGAGUAUAGAUGAAGUAGGCGGAAUGCGUGGUGUAGCGGUGAAAUGCAUAGAGAUCACGCAGAACUCCGAUUGCGAAGGCAGCUUACUAAGGUAUAACU